rnacentral:rRNA from 1 species
UACAUGGGGUGCAAACGUUGCUCGGAAUUAUUGGGCGUAAAGCGCGCGUAGGCGGUUACUCAAGUCGGAUGUGAAAUCCCUCGGCUCAACUGGGGAACUGCCUUUGAAACUGUCGGGCUUGAGGCCGGGAGGGGGUAGCGGAAUUCCCAGUGUAGCGGUGAAAUGCGUAGAUAUUGGGAGGAACACCAGUGGCGAAGGCGGGUCUCUGGGCCGUAACUGACGCUGAGGAGCGAAAGCGUGGGGAGCGAACAGG